rnacentral:rRNA from 1 species
UACGUAGGGGGCAAGCGUUAUCCGGAUUUAUUGGGCGUAAAGAGCGCGUAGGCGGCCUUACAGGUCCGUUGUGAAAACUGGAGGCUUAACCUCCAGACGUCGAUGGAAACCGUAUGGCUAGAGUCCGGAAGAGGAGAGUGGAAUUCCUGGUGUAGCGGUGAAAUGCGCAGAUAUCAGGAAGAACACCCGUGGCGAAGGCGGCUCUCUGGGACGGUACUGACGCUGAGACGCGAAAGCGUGGGGAGCGAACAGG